rnacentral:ncRNA from 1 species
CCUUAUCAAGAGUGGCGGAGGGAAUAGGCCCUGCGAUGCCCGGCAACCUAUGUGCUGAUAGGCACGGAAAGGUGCUACAUCCUACAGAUAACAGUCUGAAAGAUGAGG